rnacentral:rRNA from 1 species
AACGCUGGCGGCGUGCCUAACACAUGCAAGUCGAGCGGUAACAGGUGUAGCAAUACAUGCUGACGAGCGGCGAACGGGUGAGUAAUGUUUCGGAAUCUGCCCAAUGGUGGGGAAUAACCAGCCGAAAGGUUGGCUAAUACCGCAUAAGCCCUACGGGGGAAAGCGGGGGAUCGCAAGACCUCGCGCCGAUGGAUGAGCCGAAACCGGAUUAGCUAGUUGGUAGGGUAACGGCCUACCAAGGCGACGAUCCGUAGCUGGUCUGAGAGGACGACCAGCCACACUGGGACUGAGACACGGCCCAGACUCCUACAGGAGGCAGCAGUGGGGAAUAUUGGACAAUGGGGGAAACCCUGAUCCAGCGACGCCGCGUGUGUGAAGAAGGCCUGCGGGUUGUAAAGCACUUUUAGUGGGGAUGAAAAGCUCAGGGCUAAUACCGCUGAGUCUUGACCUAACCCAAAGAAAAAGCACCGGCUAACUCUGUGCCAGCAGCCGCGGUAAUACAGAGGGUGCAAGCGUUAAUCGGAAUUACUGGGCGUAAAGCGUGCGUAGACGGUUAUGUAAGUCGGGUGUGAAAGCCCCGGGCUCA